rnacentral:piRNA from 1 species
GACUAGAAUCCAUUAGGUCCGGGCCU